GUUUUAAUAAUUUAAUAUAAAAUAUUGAUUUUGUAAAUCAAAAUUAAGUAAAUAACUUUUAAAACU
rnacentral:tRNA from 1 species